AGCGCAUGCCCAGGAGGACUGCCUGAGCGAAGGGACAGCUCUGGUAGCGAUUUCCCUUGUGGGGCGAUGACAGGUAGGUAAAGGCACAUAAUUCUCUCCACAGUCUAUUCUAUGGCCUGACCAAUAACAGAGGCUUAGGAAGAGCUCAGCACUCAGCAUGGUGGCUGUCAUGACUCCUGUCAUCCCAGCAUGUACAAGGCAGAGGCAAGAGAAUCGGGAGUUCAAGGUUAGCGUGUGCUUUAUAGCAGCACAAAGGUGUUUUUAAUUAAUAGUAAUAAAAAUAAUAAAAUAUUUAAAAAACACAGCUGAGAGUCUGCUCACAGUUCAAGUGGCUCACUACAGACCACAUACUGAACAGCUAGUGGGACCUGUGGAGAUCUGAACAUACUUAGCCCAGGGAGUGGCAUGAUUAGGAGAUGUGGCCUUGUGGGAGGAAGUGUGUCACUAUGGGGGUGGGCUUUGAGGCCCUUCUCUUGUUACCUAGAAGACAGGCUGCCUUUGUGUCAAGAUGUAGAACUCUCAGCUCCUUCUCUAGCACUAUGCCUGCCUGGAUGCUGCCCUGUUCUCACCUCGAUGAUCCUGGACUGAACCACUGAACGGGUGAGCCCCUUAUGAAAGGGUCGUUUGACCCACAGACUAAGAAGUGAUAUUUAAGCAGAGACUUGUCAGCAAAGUGAGAGAGGAAGACAGCUGAAGGAAGAAUUCGAGAUACAAGUUUUAAACCUUUGUCCACAUUCAACAAAGUAAGGUGACAAGACCCUUGAAGAGAAAGAAAGAAAGAGAGAAAAGAAAGGAAAAGAAAAGAAUUUCUGCCUCUGAUAAGCAACUUGAUCAGGACUUACUGGCCAUCCUCCUGCCGGUCUCCCAAGUGCUGGGAUGGACAAGGUUGGUGCCACCAUGCCCAGCUUCUCUCACUUGCUUUAGGGAAGUAAAAAGACUUCCAAGAAAAAGGAUCCUGGGCUACAGAAGAGGCUGUGCGGCGGCUCCGGGGGUGGAAGUGCAACGUCCUUUUCCACCGCAGAUGUAUCAAUGUCCAGAAAGAAGUCAUCCAGGCCAGAGUCUCCCAGGUACCUUGAGCUCAGAGCUUCUAAGAAUACAGGAUCAGCCUGGGACACGAUCUCAUUCUGGGGACUCGAGGAAGCUGCUGGAUUCAGAGGCGGCUCCAUCUCAUCCAUGGAUGUAUCUAGCUCCCUGAGGAUGGAACCGAUGGUGGUAGAUAGGGAGAAAUCUUCUUCACCUAGGAAGAGAGGUUCCGGGGGCAGGGCUGGUGCUGGAGCGAGGCGAAUGGCAGCCUGGAGCUGCUGGAGUGUGUUGUGGAUAAGGACGUGCCUGCGGAGGCUGGGUGCUCUGGGGCCCAGGCUGCGCUGGACUUUGUCCAGAGAGAUUCGGAGCAGGGCUUGCUGGUAGCUCCGAAGAGCUGUUGGACUCCAGUCCCACUUCUCCUCUUCCUCCUCCUCUUCCAAAUCAGGGUCACAGGACAAACAGGUAUGGAGCACAGAGUAAUGGACCAAACCCAAACUUGAGACAGGGUUUCUCUGUAUUGCUCUGGAACUCCCUAUGUGGAUCAGGCUGUGUCUCGAACUCAUAUCGUACCGCCUCUUCCUCC
rnacentral:lncRNA from 1 species